rnacentral:rRNA from 1 species
UACGGAGGGUGCAAGCGUUAAUCGGAAUUACUGGGCGUAAAGCGUGCGCAGGCGGUUUGUCAAGUCUGCUGUGAAAUCCCCGAGCUCAACUUGGGAAUUGCAGUGGAUACUGGCAAGCUGGAGUACGGUAGAGGAAGGUGGAAUUCCCGGUGUAGCAGUGAAAUGCGUAGAGAUCGGGAGGAACACCAGUGGCGAAGGCGGCCUUCUGGACCAGUACUGACGCUCAUGCACGAAAGCGUGGGGAGCAAACAGG